rnacentral:tRNA from 1 species
ACCUAGCUGGCUCAGUUGGCAGAGCAUGUGACUCCUGAUCUCAGAGUCAUGAGUUCAAGCCUCACACUGGGCA